rnacentral:rRNA from 1 species
UACGGAGGGGACUAGCGUUGUUCGGAAUUACUGGGCGUAAAGCGUGCGCAGGCGGUUUUGUAAGCCAGAUGUGAAAUCCCCGGGCUUAACCUGGGAAUGGCAUUUGGGACUGCAAGGCUGGAGUUUGGCAGAGGAGACUGGAAUUCCUGGUGUAGCAGUGAAAUGCGUAGAUAUCAGGAGGAAUACCGAUGGCGAAGGCAGGUCUCUGGGCUAUAACUGACGCUCAUGCACGAAAGCGUGGGGAGCAAACAGG